rnacentral:rRNA from 1 species
AUUGAACGCUGGCGGCAGGCCUAACACAUGCAAGUCGAACGAGUGGCGGACGGGUGAGUAAUGUCUGGGAAACUGCCUGAUGGAGGGGGAUAACUACUGGAAACGGUAGCUAAUACCGCAUACCAUCAGAUGUGCCCAUAUGGGAUUAGCUAGUUGGUGGGGUAACGGCUCACCAAGGCGACGCUCCCUAGCUGGUCUGAGAGGAUGACCAGCCAAACUGGAACUGAGAAACGGUACAGACGCCUACGAGAGGCAGCAGUGGGGAAUAUUGCACAAGGGGCGCAAGCCUGAUGCAGCCAUGCCGCGGGUAGUAAGAAGGCCUUCGGGUUGUAAAGUACUUUCAGCGGGGAGGCGUUACACGCAGAAGAAGCACCGGCUAACUCCGUGCCAGCCGCCGCGGUAAUUC